rnacentral:rRNA from 1 species
UGAACGCUAGCGGCAGGCUUAACACAUGCAAGUCGAGGGGCAGCAUAAACAUUGCUUGCAAUGUUUGAUGGCGACCGGCGCACGGGUGCGUAACGCGUAUGUAACCUACCUCAAACAGGGGCAUAACACUGAGAAAUUGGUACUAAUUCCCCAUAACACCUGAUAGGGCAUCCUAUUAGGUUGAAAGUUCCGGCGGUUUGAGAUGGACAUGCGUUGUAUUAGCUAGACGGCGGGGUAACGGCCCACCGUGGCGACGAUGUCUAGGGGUUCUGAGAGGAAGGUCCCCCACACUGGAACUGAGACACGGUCCAGACUCCUACGGGAGGCAGCAGUGAGGAAUAUUGGUCAAUGGUCUGACGACUGAACCAGCCAUGCCGCGUGAAGGUCACGGCCCUAUGGGUCUUAAACUUCUUUUGCGAGGGAGCAAUAAGGUCUACGCGUAGGCCGAUGAGAGUACCUCGCGAAUAAGCAUCGGCUAACUCCGUG